CUGGUCUGCGUCUCUCUCAGUGCAGACCUGUUGAAUUUGUCUUUUCAGAAUAGACUGUGGUUUUUCUCAUAAUGAGGGCAGUUCCCGCAUGGAUAGAUAAAGUGCGUUACAUGACCGGGAUAAGGUUGAGAAGCAGGAAAUACUUCGUGUCUGGUUCGGCAGAUAAAAGCAUCCUCAUCUGGACCUCCAAACUGGAGGGCAGCCUCGAAUACAUUCACAAUGAUUCAGUCCAGUGUGUGGCUUACAACCCCACAUACACCAGCUGGCCUCGUGCUCCUCAGGAGACUUCGG